GCCCGGCUGGCACAAUCGGUAGCGCGUGAGACUCUUAAUCUCAAGGUUGUGGGUUCGGUUAGUACUCCCGAAGGACCUCGGAUC